AGAUUGGAGGGAUUAUAAGAAUGGUUUUGGUGAUCUGAAAGGCGAAUUCUGGCUUGGAUUGGAUAAAAUAUACAGACUAACAUCAGCAAGGAGAAAUAAACUUCGUGUUGACCUUGGAGACUGGUCAGGAAACAAAGCAUAUGCUGAAUAUGAUUAUUUUGCUGUAGAGAAUGAAGCAAAUAAAUAUAAGUUGAGUCUUGGUGCAUAUUCUGGAAAUGCUAGCAAUUCAUUAUCUUGUCAUAAAGCCAAGGCGUUUUCAACAAAAGAU